rnacentral:rRNA from 1 species
UGAGACCUGAUGCCGAGCCGAUUGUGGUGAAGUGGAUGAUCCUAUGCUGUCGAGAAAAGCCUCUAGCGAGUUUCAUGGCGGCCCGUACCCUAAACCGACUCAGGUGGUCUGGUAGAGAAUACCGAGGCGUUCGGGUGAACUAUGGUUAAGGAACUCGGCAAAAUGCCCCCGUAACUUCGGGAGAAGGGGGGCCACACCCGGUGAAGGAACUUGCUUCCUGAGCUGGGGGUGGCCGCAGAGACCAGCGAGAAGCGACUGUUUACUAAAAACACAGGUCCGUGCGAAGCCGUAAGGCGAUGUAUACGGACUGACGCCUGCCCGGUGCUGGAACGUUAAGGGGACCGGUUAGUCCGAUUUCGGUCGGGCGAAGCUGAGAACUUAAGCGCCAGUAAACGGCGGUGGUAACUAUAACCAUCCUAAGGUAGCGAAAUUCCUUGUCGGGUAAGUUCCGACCUGCACGAAUGGCGUAACGACUUCUCGACUGUCUCAACCAUAGGCCCGGUGAAAUUGCACUACGAGUAAAGAUGCUCGUUUCGCGCAGCAGGACGGAAAGACCCCGGGACCUUUACUACAGUUUGAUAUUGGUGUUCGGUUCGGCUUGUGUAGGAUAGCUGGGAGACUGUGAAACGCGGACGCCAGUUCGUGUGGAGUCGUCGUUGAAAUACCAGUCUGGUCGUGCUGGAUGUCUAACCUGGGUCCGUGAUCCGGAUCAGGGACAGUGUCUGAUGGGUAGUUUAACUGGGGCGGUUGCCUCCUAAAGGGUAACGGAGGCGCCCAAAGGUUCCCUCAGCCUGGUUGGCAAUCAGGUGUUGAGUGUAAGUGCACAAGGGAGCUUGACUGUGAGACCGACGGGUCGAGCAGGGACGAAAGUCGGGACUAGUGAUCCGGCGGUGGCUUGUGGAAGCGCCGUCGCUCAACGGAUAAAAGGUACCCCGGGGAUAACAGGCUGAUCUUCCCCAAGAGUCCAUAUCGACGGGAUGGUUUGGCACCUCGAUGUCGGCUCGUCGCAUCCUGGGGCUGGAGUCGGUCCCAAGGGUUGGGCUGUUCGCCCAUUAAAGCGGUACGCGAGCUGGGUUUAGAACGUCGUGAGACAGUUCGGUCCCUAUCCGCUGUGCGCGUAGGAGUCUUGAGAAGGGCUGUCCCUAGUACGAGAGGACCGGGACGGACGAACCUCUGGUGUGCCAGUUGUUCUGCCAAGGGCAUGGCUGGUUGGCUACGUUCGGGAGGGAUAACCGCUGAAAGCAUCUAAGCGGGAAGCCUGCUUCGAGAUGAGGACUCCCACCCACUUGAUGGGGUAAGGCUCCCAGUAGACGACUGGGUUGAUAGGCCGGAUCUGGAAGCCAGGUAACUGGUGGAGGUGACCGGUACUAAUAGGCCGAGGGCUUGUCCUC